GCUGGUUUGGCUUAGUGGCUAGAGCAUCAGCUUGUAGACUGAAGGGUCGUAAGUUCGAUUCUUGUCAAGGGCA
rnacentral:tRNA from 1 species